GAUAAAAACCGGAUUUUGGAGGCUGUCAAGGCAAACUUCAAUGACAAGUAUGAAGAGUACAGGAAGAAGUGGGGUGGUGGAAUAAUGGGAUCAAAAUUACAAGCAAAGACCAAGGCAAAAGAGAGAGUUCUUGCCAAAGAGGCUGCUCAGAGAAUGAACUAGACUGAAUUUGGUAAUAUUUUGAGAUUUUGAAACAUUUUGUUACUUUUUAAGAAUCUUGUUCUUCCAUUUUCAGUUUUUGGGAGGUCAAUUACUCAUGUAUGCUUCUUAUUGUAUGUGUUUGGUUUUUGGUUCUGUGACAGUUGAUUCAAUUCUAGAAAAUUUUAACCAGUUUUACCUUCUGU